rnacentral:rRNA from 1 species
AGUGAACGCUGGCGGUAGGCCUAACACAUGCAAGUCGAACGGCAGCACAGUAAGAGCUUGCUCUUACGGGUGGCGAGUGGCGGACGGGUGAGGAAUACAUCGGAAUCUACUUUUUCGUGGGGGAUAACGUAGGGAAACUUACGCUAAUACCGCAUACGACCUACGGGUGAGAGCAGGGGAUCUUCGGACCUUUCGCGAUUGAAUGAGCCGAUGUCGGAUUAGCUAGUUGGCGGGGUAAAGGCCCACCAAGGCGACGAUCCGUAGCUGGUCUGAGAGGAUGAUCAGCCACACUGGAACUGAGACACGGUCCAGACUCCUACGGGAGGCAGCAGUGGGGAAUAUUGGACAAUGGGCGCAAGCCUGAUCCAGCCAUACCGCGUGGGUGAAGAAGGCCUUCGGGUUGUAAAGCCCUUUUGUUGGGAAAGAAAAGCAGCAGGUUAAUACCCCGCUGUUCUGACGGUACCCAAAGAAUAAGCACCGGCUAACUUCGUG